AAAGUGUUGCAUGUUUUUUAACAUAUGGGAAUAAGGAACUAUCCACAAUCGAAUAACACGAACUUUUAAGUUCCAGUGCAUUGAUUUAGAUGUAAUUUCUGAGAUUGUGUGAAAGUGCAAAGCCAUCUAUAUUACUGAAUAUCGCAGAACAAUCGACGAACAAUGUAAAGGUAUGUAAAGUUAUUACUGAAAGAUGUCUAUUUAUAGUAGGGAAAUUUA